rnacentral:rRNA from 1 species
UACAGAGGUCUCGAGCGUUGUUUCGGAUUCAUUGGGCGUAAAGGGUGCGUAGGUGGCGCUGUAAGUCGGGUGUGAAAUCCUGAGGCUUAACCUCGGAACUGCAUUCGAUACUGCGGUGCUUUGAGGACUGGAGAGGAGACUGGAAUUCAUGGUGUAGCAGUGAAAUGCGUAGAGAUCAUGAGGAAGACCAGUGGCGAAGGCGGGUCUCUGGACAGUUCCUGACACUGAGGCACGAAGGCCAGGGGGAGCAAAACGGGG